UUUAACUGAAGAGUUUGAUCAUGGCUCAGAUUGAACGCUGGCGGCAGGCUUAACACAUGCAAGUCGAGCGGGGGAAGGUAGCUUGCUACUGGACCUAGCGGCGGACGGGUGAGUAAUGCUUAGGAAUCUGCCUAUUAGUGGGGGACAACAUCUCGAAAGGGAUGCUAAUACCGCAUACGUCCUACGGGAGAAAGCAGGGGAUCUUCGGACCUUGCGCUAAUAGAUGAGCCUAAGUCGGAUUAGCUAGUUGGUGGGGUAAAGGCCUACCAAGGCGACGAUCUGUAGCGGGUCUGAGAGGAUGAUCCGCCACACUGGGACUGAGACACGGCCCAGACUCCUACGGGAGGCAGCAGUGGGGAAUAUUGGACAAUGGGGGGAACCCUGAUCCAGCCAUGCCGCGUGUGUGAAGAAGGCCUUAUGGUUGUAAAGCACUUUAAGCGAGGAGGAGGCUACUUUAGUUAAUACCUAGAGAUAGUGGACGUUACUCGCAGAAUAAGCACCGGCUAACUCUGUGCCAGCAGCCGCGGUAAUACAGAGGGUGCGAGCGUUAAUCGGAUUUACUGGGCGUAAAGCGUGCGUAGGCGGCUUAUUAAGUCGGAUGUGAAAUCCCCGAGCUUAACUUGGGAAUUGCAUUCGAUACUGGUGAGCUAGAGUAUGGGAGAGGAUGGUAGAAUUCCAGGUGUAGCGGUGAAAUGCGCGUAGAGAUCUGGAGGAAUACCGAUGGCGAAGGCAGCCAUCUGGCCUAAUACUGACGCUGAGGUACGAAAGCAUGGGGAGCAAACAGGAUUAGAUACCCUGGUAGUCCAUGCCGUAAACGAUGUCUACUAGCCGUUGGGGCCUUUGAGGCUUUAGUGGCGCAGCUAACGCGAUAAGUAGACCGCCUGGGGAGUACGGUCGCAAGACUAAAACUCAAAUGAAUUGACGGGGGCCCGCACAAGCGGUGGAGCAUGUGGUUUAAUUCGAUGCAACGCGAAGAACCUUACCUGGCCUUGACAUACUAGAAACUUUCCAGAGAUGGAUUGGUGCCUUCGGGAAUCUAGAUACAGGUGCUGCAUGGCUGUCGUCAGGCUCGUGUCGUGAGAUGUUGGGUUAAGUCCCGCAACGAGCGCAACCCUUUUCCUUACUUGCCAGCAUUUCGGAUGGGAACUUUAAGGAUACUGCCAGUGACAAACUGGAGGAAGGCGGGGACGACGUCAAGUCAUCAUGGCCCUUACGGCCAGGGCUACACACGUGCUACAAUGGUCGGUACAAAGGGUUGCUACACAGCGAUGUGAUGCUAAUCUCAAAAAGCCGAUCGUAGUCCGGAUUGGAGUCUGCAACUCGACUCCAUGAAGUCGGAAUCGCUAGUAAUCGCGGAUCAGAAUGCCGCGGUGAAUACGUUCCCGGGCCUUGUACACACCGCCCGUCACACCAUGGGAGUUUGUUGCACCAGAAGUAGCUAGCCUAACUGCAAAGAGGGCGGUUACCACGGUGUGGCCGAUGACUGGGGUGAAGUCGUAACAAGGUAGCCGUAGGGGAACCUGCGGCUGGAUCACCUCCUUAACGAA
rnacentral:rRNA from 1 species